rnacentral:rRNA from 1 species
AGUGAACGCUGGCGGUAGGCCUAACACAUGCAAGUCGAACGGCAGCACAGUAAGAGCUUGCUCUUACGGGUGGCGAGUGGCGGACGGGUGAGGAAUACAUCGGAGUCUACUUUUUCGUGGGGGAUAACGUAGGGAAACUUACGCUAAUACCGCAUACGACCUACGGGUGAAAGCAGGGGAUCUUCGGACCUUGCGCGAUUGAAUGAGCCGAUGUCGGAUUAGCUAGUUGGCGGGGUAAAGGCCCACCAAGGCGACGAUCCGUAGCUGGUCUGAGAGGAUGAUAAGCAAAACUGGAACUGAGACACGGUCCAGACUCCUAGGGGAGGAAGCAGUGGGGAAUAUUGGACAAUGGGCGAAAGCCUGAUCCAGCCAUACGGCGUGGGUGAAGAAGGCCUUCGGGUUGUAAAGCCCUUUUGUUGGGAAAGAAAAGAAGCAGGUUAAUACCCCGCUGUUCUGACGGUACCAAAAGAAUAAGAACCGGCUAACUUCGU